AUGCCUACACCAGAGGAGAUCAAGAUCCAAGCAAAAACCAUCGAUGCUGCAGCAGAAGAGAUAAUUGGCAUUUUGGAGGAUACAAGCAAAGGAAAUGUGAUCUUCGUCAGUGGUUGGCAUGGAUUUGGGGCAUCAGCGGCACUCAAGGUAGUAGCGCAACGUCUGAAAUCAUCGAAAUCAAAGUUUGACAGGGUUAUUCAUGUGGAUUGCUCGUUGUGGAAAAGCAUGAGGGCCCUGCAAAAGGCAAUCGCGGAGGAGCUGGAGCUUCCGCUGUCGGUGAUGGCCAUCUUCGAUUGGUGGGACGAGGAGGAUGAUUUUAAUUUGAUAGACGAAGGCUCUCGAGGGGUGAUAGCAGAUAUCAGCACAGAAAUCUUCAGAAAGCUUGCUAACAGCAGAUUUGUAGUGAUAUUUCACAAUGGGAGUGACAAAUACAUUGAUCUGUACGAGUGUGGUGUCCCAGUAAUACCAAUUUUGAAUAAUAGGGUGCUGUGGACCUGGCACGGGAGGUUUCGACCGAGUUUUAGUUCCAGAACCAGAAUCUGGAGAGAAGGAAACAUGGAGGUCUCUAACAUGAGGCUGCAUACUGAUGUUGUUGUCGACUAUUCUCAUGAUGAUUGCAUCCGUGAUGAAGCAUUAUUGGAAGAGGCCAAGGAGGUUGUCACUUAUUUGGGUAUUCCAGAGCCUUACAUGAACCAUAUGAUAGUUGAGAAGUGCUUCCAGUACGCCUAUGCACUGGGAUCUGCCAGGCUCCCCAACCGGGGGAACUGGGGGUACUGGGAGAGGAACUGGGGGAACCAUGCUUCAAACUACUUGGUAUGCGAUGGGAUUAUACAAGGGCAAGGUGAUACAUCAGCAUGGGGAGUUGCCGAUGCUCUACAGAGAAACGUGCAUUUGGAUUGGCUUCUAGACUCGAGAGAGUCGGCUUCUGAUGGCAUUCGUCGUCACCUGCAGCUGCAGUGCAGGCUUCGUGACCGCUGGGUUUUGGUGGUACACAAGAGAGAUAAGGGUCUGCCACCUGAUGAGAUUGGCAUGCUGCUUUCUGAGGCGACAUCCUUCUUCGCCUUGCCAUAUAGUAAACGCCAUAGCCCAAUCACUACAUUACCAGAUGGCAUAUUCCAACAUUCACACAGCAGCAAGCUGCGUGUGUUACAUCUCUGUUAUUGCAGAUUCGGUUUUGAAUCGCCUCCCUUCCUGUGUUGCAGCCAGCUAAGAUUCCUCCUGCUAGAUACAUGCAGUAGUAUCGCAUGUGAUAAGCAUCCAAUCCACAACGAAGACAUGUCAUGCUUCCAGAAGCUAUGGGUGCUGCACCUGAGUUAUACACGAUGGUAUCGAUUACUAUCAGAAGAGAUGAUGAACUUUAUGGCUGACCUCAGGGAGUUGUAUGUAGAGGGAGAUUGGGGCAUAAAUGAUUUACGUGGCAGGGGACCUUCCCUUGUCAAGGUCCACGUAGAAUCAUGGAACUACUUUAUUAAUCAUGCACCAUUCCCUGACCUGUCCAGCGCAAGCUUCCUCAAGACGAUCAUCCUUGACAAUUGUUUUGAACUGGAACAAGUUGUCCCCGGCGUGCUGCCCCCAUCGCUUGAGUCAUUCACCUUCAAAACUAGAUCUUAUGGCACCAACACAUCUAGCAUUUCCUUCCGGGGUUGUUCUCAGUUGAAGAGUAUACUACUGGUAGGAAAAAUGGAGAGACUCGAGGAGCUGGACCUCUCGGGCACAAUAGUGAAAACCCUUGACCUCAGGGAAGUGAUAGCCCAAAACCUCAAACGUCUCAUCUUGCUGGGCUGCGAGAAGCUCUGUGCAAUAUUAUGGCCAUCAGAAUACAUCAUGACAAAGGUUUUGGAGGUACUGCACAUCAACACCAUACGAUCUACAUCACCUGGCCAAGCUAAUUGGGAAGAAAAACCCAGGGAUCCUAUUGCAGCUAUGGGGUCAUCAUCUAUUCUUGUUGCUACUGCUACAGAUCUGGGCAUCAGUCCACAUGCACCAUUUGAAGUUAAAUGGUACAUCUCUGCAACGGAUACAAGGAUCCUUAGGUCGCUUGAACCGAUUAAAAGAUAUAUUGAGCAGAGUCAUGUAUAUAUGGAAAUGGGUUCAUCUCCUACAAGUGGUGCUACUGCUGGUGACAGUGAAGUUGCUCAAGGAAUCCGGAGUCUGUGUCAGCCUGAUAAUUAUUUAUAUGCAAGGGAUGCCUUCUUUCAAAGGGACCUACAGGCUGGCGCUGAUAAUGAAGGUGCAAUCAGCUGGAUGUGGGCUUGCCCAGCUACUCCUACUCCAAGGGCUCAAGACUGGUAUGUUCACAUACAAGAUAAGCCCGAGGUGAAGAGGGGACUACUACAGCAAAAACAGAGCAACACUGAAGGAAUUAAUGUUGGUGCCGUUUUUCCUGGUUUCAUAGUUAACAAUGCUCGCAUGCUUCACGUGCAUGAUAGCUCAUCCAUCACUUGCAUCACAUGCCCUCAACCACAAGGUUCAUGCUGGAGGUGGCUUGAAUGGUGCCGAGUCGAGAGAUGUCCCAAGCUGCGUACUGUCUUUUAUACUCCCCAACCAAGUAAGGGUGAUAGCUUCUGUUAUGAGUUGGCCACAUUCUGGGCAUCUGAACUCCCAAAGGCAUGCUACAUCUGUGAUUGGAAUGCAAUACGUAUGUUUUCCUUUGCACACAUAGUACUAUUGCACCUGGACCAUUGCCCUAGACUCAUACAUGUGCUUCCCUUGUCUGACUCUCUGGACACUUUGCCUCAUAUGGAUACCCUGGAGAUUGUGUGUUGUGGUGAUCUAAAGGAGGUCUUCGCUCUGGAUCCUAAGAAAAAGCGCCAGAGAAUUAUAGGAUGCCCCAAGCUAAGGCGCAUUCACCUGUACGAGCUCCCCAGCCUGCAGCACAUCUGUGGGAGCAGAAUAUCCGCGCCCAACUUGGAGACCGUCAAGAUCAGGGGUUGCUGGAGCCUUAGGAGCCUACCAGCCGUCAGCGGAAACAGAGAGAAGCUGCCUAGUGUGGACUGCGAGAAGGAUUGGUGGGAUAAUCUGGAAUGGGACGGGGUGGAGGCGAAUCACCACCCUUCGUUCUAUGAUCAUAACCACUCGUCACACUACAAGGCCCAGCAGCAAAGAGGCACAGUACUAAGGUAA
rnacentral:rRNA from 1 species